rnacentral:lncRNA from 1 species
AGAGUCUUGCCCAGAGUGAUCAUCAUCAUCAUAUAUGAUAUUCUUCUUUCUUCAUGGCUUUCAUAAAGUUAGCCGGGCAACUUUGAAUUUUCAACUUUUUUUAUAAUUAACCCUCCGUUGACACACAUAUUUUUCUCGCACCUCGGAUCCCUAUACACACAUGGGUCAGCAGUUUCAUACCAUGUUUUCCCAUACCUAGACUCGUUUAAAAAAUCUGAAAAAAUUCAGGAAUGUAGUUUGAUAUCUAUAGAAAGAGAACAUGCGUUAGGAAAUGGAUAAAAAUUAAUCUUUAUUAUUUUUAUUCAAUGAAAAAUGAUACAAAGAAUGAGAAAUUUAGAAACAGUCCGGACACCACAGACAGACCCAUGUGUGUCAACGGAGGGCCAUCAUAUCUCAAGGUGGUCGCGUGGUGGUCGGUGGUAGCGCAAUUAAAAUGCUUGGUGGUUUUUUUUAUUUUUAAUAAAUACAUCAUUUUUAUUUUUAGCAUUAAAUUAGCCGUCCAAAAUUAAUUUUAUAAAUCGUGAAACGCAAUUUACAUACGAGUUUUACUGUUUGUCAGUUACAAAUAUGGGUCUAAAAUUUUUACGGAAUUCUCAACUUCGGUUUUUUAGAGUUCUUAUGACCAAACAAACAUUGUCAAACGAUUGGCGUUGAGAAAAAUGUUUAAAGUUGAAAUAUAUAGGGGCGCUAAUGGCCGUUUUCUCCGACGCGGUUCAAACUCAGUUCAAUUUUUUUCAUAUAGUUUCGAGAUAGGAUGAACCGAGUUUAAACUCAGAUUAACGUUGGAGAAAACGGGCAUAAGAGUUUAAGCAACUGAGAGAGAUGCAGUGUGUGUGAUGGCGACGACGGGUACGUUACGUUUUGGCGCCGCCGUUUGGGCGCGAGGAUAUUUUUCGAUAAAUUAUGCAUAAAUAAUGUAACAAUGCUGUUGAUUAUAUUUCAGGAGAUCAAGAGUUGGGAAAUGGCGUGCCACUUUGACAGUUGAUAGGGGAGAACGAAAACCUGGUGAGAGAGGCGGCCCGUUCACCCUCCCCAAACAAGAUCGAUGACGGGUUCUUGCCGCAUAGGACCCCGCAGUCGUUACACAAUAACUUUCAAAAAUCUAUUCUUCCAAAUAUCGAAAAUUUCGAAAUACUAACUGUCGACGAGAGACAGCUAUUUUUGCAGUUGAGAGAAAAUAAAAGACGGCGCAGAUGCGCAGAUAAAAGUUGACAAAAUAAAAAAAAAAGAACUCAACUUAUAUAUUUUUUCAACUUAUUAUUUUUUCAACUCAUUAUUUUUGUUUUAUCCGUCGGUCAAGUAAAUAACGCCGCGUCUUCAUCGCUAUUUUCAUUAAGAGCUCUCUAGUCGAGAUAUUGCCACGAACUCGUGACGUAUGGCAAAUAAAUGAGUUUAGGCUGUGACUCCACGAGUAAAAUCUAAACUUUAAAAACAACAAAAAAUAUUUUUUCUUUUUUUCUUUUUUAGUUAUAAGUUUCUCAAUGAUACAUUGAGCUCUGAUUGAAAUAAAAAAAAAAAUCAAAGCAUUAAAAACAUGAAAAAAUAUAUUUUUUUAUUUUUCUUUUUUAGUCGUAAGUUUCUCAAUAAAACCUUGAACUCGCAAAAGAGCAAAAAAACGAUUGCGACAGAGUCGUUCAAUACCUUAUUUAAUACACAUCAUCGUGUUGAUCGAGCGAAAGCCCUUGAGAAUGAGAGAGUACAAAAUCAAAACUAUUGUUAAGUGUAUUGUUAUUGGAUUAAAGUUUUGCAAAAUUUGCUCGACAAUUGCUACACGAGUUUGUUUUUUUCCUUCCGAAGACAACAUAUAUUUUUUGACAACUUGCAUGAAAUGACCAAAUCACACGUGGACUCAUAAACGUUCAGCAGUUCGGAAAUUGUUUCAACGCCCGAAUCUUCGAGAACAACAAUUCACAGUUUCCAACAAAGUCUGAUGGAAGUGAUCGAGGAAACUAAAGAUGAUGGGGAUUGAAAUACGAGAGUAGAGAACGUGAUAAAUGGAAAGAGAAGAGAAACGCCGAGGCAGGAUGCAACGAAGAUCCAGCAGGUUGAGCAAGCUUUCGCAAUUGCACCGCGCGAGUUUCAAUGACAUUCCGACAAGAAUCUAAGGCUUGUUCGUUUCGUUGGAAAAUUUCGAUAUUCCCGGUUCGCUGGAAGUGGUGCAUUCACGUAAUUUUUUUUCGUGCUCGAGCAGCAAUCGAUUUUCCCCGGUUGUUUUUAAUCCCGCAAAUAUCGAUAGACGAAUCGAAGUUUUUCACAGUCGCAGCUUGUCUCAUUGAACUUUGUUGGAUUUACCGUCAAGUCGAGGACCUAGAGAGAACAAAAUCUCAAACUGUUUAAAAAUAAAAAGGUUGAAAGUUAUUUGCAAUAAGAGGAGCGAAACAAAUGAAAUUUCUUUUUAAUUUGGAAUUGGUCUAUUUGAAUUUUAUUAGAGGAUAAUUACAAUAUGUACGUUGAUGUCCAUCUUUUGCUUAUGAUUGGAAAUAAUUGAGUGUUGGAAAGAGAUUCGUAAUCGUUGUUUUUAAGUGAAUAAUAAAAAAAUUUUAUAUUUG